GGGGAAGUGGUCUGUUACUUGUGGCAGGAAGGCUAUCCUUGAUACCAUGUGGCUGGAGACUUUGAUGGCUUUAAUUGGGGAACAAUUUGAUGAGGCCGAUGAGAUUUGUGGUGUGGUUGCAAGUGUGCGCCAAAGGCAGGAUAAACUUGCAUUGUGGACGAAGACAGCUACAAAUGAGGCUGCUCAGAUGAGCAUUGGCAAGAAGUGGAAAGAGAUCAUUGAUGUCACUGACAAGAUCACAUACAGUUUUCAUGAUGAUUCUAGAAGGGAAAGAUCUGCCAAAGGCCGAUAUAAUGUAUAAGCUCUCCUCAAUAGUUUUGCAGUACGGUUUUUGUUUUGCAUGAUCAGAAACGCCAUGAAGUUAAAAUGUAUUUCAAGGAAGAUUCCCUGAAUGGAUGUAUUUUAAUGCUUGUCUAAUUUUGCUACUUGACAAUUUUCUGCUUCUAUCAAUGUAUUGUAGCAUCUGGCAAUCUUUAUUGGAGAGACUAGAGACGCGCAGAUUGUUGUGCUGAAUACAUGUCAGAAGAAAAUGCCUCAUUCAUUUUCAAUACUUU
rnacentral:misc_RNA from 1 species